AUGACGAAAAAAAAAAACAAUGAUAAAAGGUUAUUAAUAUUGAAAGAGCAAGAACAAAAGUUAAAAGAUACGAAAAAUAGUACUCUAGAAAAAACGGAUAUUAUUGUAGAAAAGGACGAAACAGAUACCACAAUAGACAAUGCGAUAAAUCAUAAAAGUGGAAACACUAAAGACGACAAAAAAAUAGAUAAACUGGGUAAGAAGGAUAAGAAGGAAAAAACAGAUGAUAAAAAAAAGGACAAGAAAGACGAUAAAAAAAGGGACAAGAAGGACGAUAAAAAAAGAAGCAAAAAGAAAAAAAAAGGAAUUUCAAUUAGCGAUAUAAACGAUAACACAGAAGAGGAAACUAAAGAAGACACACAAAAUGACACAACAGAAGAAAAAACAGAAAACGAAAUAAACGAAAACAAAAGUGGAGAAAACACAUGCGCUACUAGCUUGUCUACAACAUGUCCAAACGAUUUCAUACCAGAAAAUAAAAAUGAUUUAAAAAAUCGUAACAAAAAUAGCUACUUUUUUGAUAGAAAAAAUAUUAACGACAAAUAUGAUAUAAUAAGCACCGAGAUAUUAAAUUGUUUAUAUAAAAAUCAACCGAAUGUAAAAUUUACGUGCAAACACAAAAUACUAGCAGAAAUGAUAAUUGGAGCUAUUAUAUAUGGAAAUAAAAUUAAAUUAAAUAUAUUUAAAUUGAACUUGUUUUUAUCUAUUAUUAUUAUGACCAUGCAUAAAAUUAUGAAUAAUUUAAGUAAAAAAAAAAAAAAAAAAAAAAAAUUAACUAUUAAAUAUUUUGUCAGUUUAUUAAAUAAAAACACUCAAUAUAAUAAUCAAACAAAUGAAAACGACGGUCUAAUUAAUUGUGAUACACACGAAAUAGAUAUGUUACCAGAAAAUAAGGAAAAAAAUAAACACAUAACUGAACAAAAUAAAAAAAACAAAGAUAAUGAUAAAAAGGAGGGCGAGAGUGAGAGUGAUAAAAAUGAAGACGAGGGUGAAAGUGAUAGAGACGAGAUUGAUAGUGACAGAAACGAGAGUGAUAAAAAAAAGAAUGACAAAAAAAAAAGCGAUAAAAAAAAGAGCAGUAAAAAAAAAAGUGAUAAAAAUAAAAAUGAUGAAAAAACGAUAGGUGAAAAAAUUGUGGAUGAAAAAACUGUGGAUAACAAUGUAACAAAAAGCAGUACUAUUAAAAAAAAAAAAGAAAAGGAAAGAAAUCGUAAUAAAACAUAUGACAAUGACUUAAAAGAGCAAACCAGUAUAUUAAAAAAUACUGAAAAAAAUUUAAUAAAUAAAACAACAGAAAAUAAAGAUAAUGAACAGUCAGCCAAUUAUUUUAGUUUAUCAUUUACUAAUGACUGUCCGCAUAUAUCUCCAACUGAAUCAUUUUUUGUAACGGACGAACUAAAACAAAAUACAGAACAACUAGACAAUAACGAAUUCGCUACCAAUUCGUACAUACAGGAAGCACUUGAUGUCCCAUUAUUUGUGUUAGAUAUGUUUUACAACAACAUUGAAGACUUAAAAAAAAAAAUCGAAGAAGUUGUAACUUGAAUGAUGUUUUUUUUUUUUUUUUUUUUUACUUUUUUGUGUAGUGAAUAAAAAAAAAAAAAUAAAAAAAAAAAAAAAUAAA
ensembl:lncRNA